CAACCCUCAGGCUCCGCCUGGUGUUGGGGCUCCUGCGCACUGCAGGCCCUCAAAGGCAGCGGCGGGUGCGCCCACGAACCGAACGCAGUAGUUUUCUCUCGUUCUGGUCCCGCGGGCGUGCUCCGGCCGGUAAACCCCUUAUAACUUCAAUGG
rnacentral:misc_RNA from 1 species